rnacentral:rRNA from 1 species
UCCGUAGGUGGAUAAUUAAGUCAGAGGUGAAAUCCUGCAGCUCAACUGUAGAAUUGCCUUCGAUACUGGUUAUCUUGAGUCAUUAUGAAGUGGUUAGAAUGUGUAGUGUAGCGGUGAAAUGCAUAGAUAUUACACAGAAUACCGAUUGCGAAGGCAGAUCACUAAUAAUGUACUGACACUGAUGGACGAAAGCGUGGGGAGCGAACAGGAUUAGAUACCCUGGUAGUCC